rnacentral:lncRNA from 1 species
CACGGGGAUGUCGGGGGUCUCCUCAGCCGUCCCAGGGAUGGGGGUCCCCGCCGUUCGCUCCGGGGCCAGUGUCUCCUUGCCCAGCUCUGCAGAACCGGCACCUGCCUCGUUGGUUUGGGGCCGGGGCAGUGCCGGCAGCUCCCUCCUGCAGCCCCACCGCCCGCCCGGGGGCUCCCCAGCUGAGGGGGCUGCGUGUCCCCAGCCCCGGGACCCCCGCGGAACAGGCAGCGCUCCGAGGCAGCUGCCGUGGGCCCCGGCAGCCCCCCGCCCCUCGCAGCCCCUUUGUGUCGGCGAGACAAAAGCGCAGCCUGUUCGGAGGCCGGAGCCCAGACAAGAGGCGUUUUGUCUCCUGGGGGGAGCUGGCGGGGCCGGGCAGACACGGCACGGUGCUGGGGGGGCUGGGCUGGCUCUGAGAGCCCCCCAAGUGUGGGGCAGCCCCCCAACCCACCCGGUGUCACGGCUGCACCCGGGCAGCCCCAGCCUUGUGCCACUGGGCCCUGGUUUGCUGCUGGGGGAGAUGGCACGGGGCACGGGGACGGGCUCAGCGGGGCAGGGGGGUCACCUCUGCCCCCCCAAGAUGGGGCAAGGGGCAGAACGCCCCUGCACCAAGGAGCCAGCACGGGGAAUGGGGAAUUUCAGGGAGAUUUGGCCCCGGUGCUGGGCAGGGAGGGCAGCAGGCAGCCCGUGCACCUGCCCCGACCCCAAACGGUGGCACGGGGCACCCGCCACCGCCACCACCUUCCCUGCGGCGGGGAAAACGGGUCCCCACCCCGCUCCUCACCCAGGAGGAACCCCAUACACACCCGUCCCCAUCCCCAGGGAGGUGUGGGGCUGCCCCCUGCACCACAGCCCCCCUGAGGGUGACAUGGGGGUGUCACCGCCCGGAGCGAGGUGGCAGCGUCCCCGUUCCCCCCGGCACCACCCAGCUGCUCCCCACCGCAGCAAUCCCCCCGUGCCCCCCGCCUGAUGCUGCCAGCCCCCAGCUCGGGCUCAGGGGCGAGGAGCGGGGCUGGCGGCAGGGCUGGGCGCGCUGCUGACUCACGUCAACCGCAGAGUGAGCCAGCACCGGGCUCCGGCCACCCCAACCGGGGUGGGGGGGGGGGCUCCGGGGACCUCCACGGGACCCCAACCCCGCUAUAGGGCCCGGUGUGGCGGGAGGGCACAGCGGGGUCGUGGUGGGGGCGGUGGCAGCGCCACAUGCGGGGCACACACAGGAGGGCUGGGUGGGCGCGGGUGCCACUCGAUGCCACCUGCGUGCCCCCCGCUGUGGCACCGGGGACCCCCCCGG